AGUCGAACGGCAGCAUGAUCUAGCUUGCUAGAUUGAUGGCGAGUGGCGAACGGGUGAGUAAUACAUCGGAACGUGCCCUGUAGUGGGGGAUAACUAGUCGAAAGAUUAGCUAAUACCGCAUACGACCUGAGGGUGAAAGUGGGGGACCGCAAGGCCUCAUGCUAUAGGAGCGGCCGAUGUCUGAUUAGCUAGUUGGUGAGGUAAAGGCUCACCAAGGCGACGAUCAGUAGCUGGUCUGAGAGGACGAUCAGCCACACUGGGACUGAGACACGGCCCAGACUCCUACGGGAGGCAGCAGUGGGGAAUUUUGGACAAUGGGCGAAAGCCUGAUCCAGCAAUGCCGCGUGUGUGAAGAAGGCCUUCGGGUUGUAAAGCACUUUUGUCCGGAAAGAAAUGGCUCUGGUUAAUACCUGGGGUCGAUGACGGUACCGGAAGAAUAAGGACCGGCUAACUACGUGCCAGCAGCCGCGGUAAUACGUAGGGUCCAAGCGUUAAUCGGAAUUACUGGGCGUAAAGCGUGCGCAGGCGGUUGUGCAAGACCGAUGUGAAAUCCCCGAGCUUAACUUGGGAAUUGCAUUGGUGACUGCACGGCUAGAGUGUGUCAGAGGGGGGUAGAAUUCCACGUGUAGCAGUGAA
rnacentral:rRNA from 1 species